rnacentral:rRNA from 1 species
UGGUGGAGUGAUUUGUCUGGUUAAUUCCGUUAACGAACGAGACCUCGACCUACUAACUAGUUUCCGAACGCUUGCGUUUGCGAAGGCUUCUUAGCGGGACUAUCGGUGCGUAGCCGAUGGAAGCUCGAGGCAAUAACA